CCAUGAGAAAUGAUUUUCUCUAUAUCCUCUGUUAAGCAUACCCAAGUACCUUUCGAGAGGAUUGGAGAUCCUAUUAUAUGUAUGAGGUGGAGAAGGAAUAUACGUCUACUGGCUUAUCAUGAAUGGGUUCUUUAAAUCCUAUGGCUCGUUGCUCUUUAGAGACACUCUCUUCGAGCUUAACUUUCCUCCCACUACUUCAUUUUGGUUAAAUAAUUUUUCAAGAAGAUAGCAUGUCGGGUCACAAAAAUAUUGUAAUCCUAUCAGAAAGUAGUAUUCCAAACU
rnacentral:lncRNA from 1 species